UGCAGGAGCCGGCUUGCUGGCGAUGGCAUCAAUUCGGUAUGUCAGAUAACACCGAGGUGAUGCCAUCGCCAGCAAGCCGGCUCCUACA
rnacentral:misc_RNA from 1 species